AUACGUAGGUGACAAGCGUUAUCCGGAUUUACUGGGCGUAAAGGGCGUGUAGGCGGUCUUGCAAGUCGGAAGUGAAAUUCCUGAGCUCAACUCGGGCGCUGCUUCUGAAACUGCAGGACUUGAGUGCUGGAGGGGAUAGCGGAAUUCCUAGUGGAGCGGUAAAAUGCGCAGAUAUUAGGAAGAACACCGGUGGCGAAGGCGGCUAUCUGGACAGUAACUGACGCUGAGGCGCGAAAGCGGUGGGAGCAAACAGGAUUAGAUACCCUGGUAGUCCACGCCGUAAACGACGAAUACUAGGUGUAGGGGGUAUCGACUCCCUCUGUGCCGCAGUUAACACAAUAAGUAUUCCGCCUGGGGAGUACGGCCGCAAGGUUGAAACUCAAAGGAAUUGGCGGGG
rnacentral:rRNA from 1 species